CUUAGGGCCUUUCAUGGCAUAAUGAAAGGAGGAUAAUUCAAACACGAUUUUCAAUUUUUCAUGCUGUUUUAUUUUGUUAUUCCUCUCAUUAGGUUGCUAUGAAUUGUAAACAAUGAUGAGAACCCAACAUGACCGUAUUUGUUUCUCUACAUUUAGGACUCCUUGUUUUCCUUUGUUUCCUUCUUCUGGAUGGAUUAGCAAUGCUAAUAUCCAUAAAAUCAUGCCUAAAAAAUGGGGAAAGAAAAAACAACAAUAAACACAAACAGAACUAAUCGUUUUAGGAUACAUAUCAACUUGCAAUAUAUUUUAACGUUCAUCUUACUCAUCUAAACAUGAAAAACUGAUUUUCAAAUUUUUUUUAAAACUUAAUCUAAUGCCAAAUAGGAUUAUACAUCUAUUUGUAUAUGGGGAGUUUAAUUCAAAUCAAUUCACACGUCCAACAAGAAGGGGGGGAGGGAAGCCCGAAUUCACAUAUGCCAUAACAGUAAUAGGAACGCAAACUUGUCAGGGAGGAUAAAUGGAACCAACCAUCAGCUUGCCUGAGUAAAUUUCAGCAGAUUAUUUCAGUUACAGUACUCACUUUGCUAGUAAUAUUGUCCCAAAACCAAAAAUGGAGCAGGAUGGGUCACAUGAACAAAACCAUUUUGGAAUCAUAAAAUGUCUGGAAGCAAUUUAACUUAAUUAUAAUAAAUCACACCAAGAUAUCAAAACCCAUCUUUGUAACUUCUUUCUGCUCUUAUUUGUAAAAUUGACGUCUGAACUCUUGGGGCUAUUUAUGCCUGGAGCAAUUACCAAGUCAAUGGACAAAGCAUGGCAAAGUUGACUACCCCAGCAAAUGAUUCUCACAACAAACCAGGGUUUAGUCCAUUAUACCGCCCAAGGCAUCUUUUCCCAUCAAAAUGUGUAUCUUUUUACACCCCUGACUUGCCAUCCGUCCUCUAUACUUUUACUGUUGCAGCAAAUGGGCAUUUCCCCAAUGUAUUCCACAAAAUGUAAUCCCCGGAAGUAACCUGUU
rnacentral:lncRNA from 1 species